UACAGAGACUGCAAGCGUUAUUCGGAUUCACUGGGCGUAAAGGGUGCGCAGGCGGUCGGGUGUGUCAGAUGUGAAAUCCCGAGGCUCAACCUCGGAACUGCGUCUGAAACUGACUCGACUAGAGUACUGGAGAGGGUAACGGAAUUCACGGUGUAGCAGUGAAAUGCGUAGAUAUCGAUGAGGAACACCGGAGGCGAAGGCGGGUCUCUGGGCCGAUACUGACGCUGAGGAGCGAAAGCGUGGGGAGCGAACAGG
rnacentral:rRNA from 1 species